ensembl:lncRNA
UUUUUUUUUCUUUUUCUUCCCAUUGAUUAUUUUUCAUUUCUGAGCAACUCUAUUAAAGUGAAGAAAUAUCAGUCUUAGGAGAACCUAUUCCGAAUCUCCUGGACAAUGGAGAAAAUUUAUUCUGACAUUUCUUCAGAUUUGUGUGGAUGUGACCUCCUUCCUGGGUCCCCAUGGGGCCUCCUGCUGGAAGGGCUCUCUGCUUGGUUUAGUGUGCUGCUGUCACCAUUUUGAAAUCCUAAGUCGUUUUUUCACAAGAGCCCCCGCAUUUUCAUUUUGAGCUGAUCCUGCAAAUUCUGUAGCUGGUCCUGCUUCCCAUCAUGUCAAUUUCCCUUCCUCCCCACAACUCCUACCUUGCUAAUUACCACUAUGCUUCUAAGUCUUUACUAGGUGGGCUGGGGCUAAAUGAUGAUAUCCUAACUUCUAUCUGCAGCACUUUCUUUCUUUCUGCUCUCAACCUGCUUAUUUUCACUCUCAUCUCAAAAGCCCUGGCUCUGGGAGUCCACCAGCCCUCCAGAAUGCACUCCUUUGAUCUCUUCAUUUAGCAAACACUCAGUCCCCAUUGUAAAAAUUAAAAAUGUCCCUUGACCAUGCAUGCUGUUCUGUAGAAUAGUUAUUGAUGCAAUAGGCAUGGUGAAUACUAGCCGCCUCUCACCGCACACCAACACACUAUCUGUACAUGAGGGCAGGGGCAACUCUCCUGCAUUUGUGAGUCCCUGUGGUGUGGGGCUUGUCUCUGUGGGCGUAAGUGUGUAUACUAGUGAGCUUCUGGUGUAAGUGUGUGGACUAGUGAGCUACUGGUGUAUACUAGUGAGCUUCUUGUGUAAGUGUGUGUACUAGCAAGCUGAGGGUGUGUGUGUACUGAGCUUCUGGUGUAAGUGUGUACUAGUGAGCUGCUGGUGUAAGUAUGUGCACUAGUGAGCUGCCGGUGUAAGUGUGUGCACUAGUGAGCUGCUGGUGUAAGUGUGUGCACUAGUGAGCUGCUGUUGGCCUGUGCUCUACUUGUGGGUUGGGUUCACCUUAGGCAAAAUUGUGAUGUUUGUCUCACAUCUUCCCAACCCACCUCUAACACAGACACAGCCUUACUCCAUUUCCAUACUCCAGAUCCUGCCCAUCCUUUGGCACUGGGCUGACCCUUCCCCCUGCCUCCCUAGUGACCUCCUAGGAGGAUGGGGAAAAGAAGCAUUGAAUUACAUCAAUAAUCUGUGCACUCUACAUGUUGAUUCUCUUUUCUUCUUCACAGCAAUAGUAACUGGUAGGUAUUGUUCAUUAUAUUUUAUAGUUGAGGAAACUGAGAUACACACAUUAAUUUGCCCAAGGUCACCACAUCAAAAAAGAACCAGAGGUUCAAACUCGGCCUUUAUCUGGCUCUCAAGUCUGGGUCUUUUCUGCGUCCCAGUUGACUGCAGGAACCCUACAUUUCCUCUGGAUACACUUCACUGUAGCUGAGCCCUGUUACACCCGGCUUAAUGACAGCCUAAUUACAAGUGGUACAGGUUAAUAUACCAAUAUCGUGAGUUCUCUUCUCUGGCCUCAGGGCAGUCCUCACCAGGUAACGUUUAGGGCCCCUUUUCAGCUCUCAGGGCCUAAAAUCUUCCAGAGAAUUUUCCUUGUCUCUCAGGCAAAAAUAUCCGCAUUUUAAAUGUGUGUUUGUGGCAAAUGAACUCCCUGAACAUCUGGGCUGUUUAUCCUAGAAUAUUUAGUCUGCUAAAGGGAGAUUUCAGGAUAGGGGAGGGAGCUACAUGGAGGCAGGGGUGGUAAGUAUACCCCAGUGGCUGAGGUUAUGUGCCCUACUCUCAGGUCAGCACCUCUUUGCUGACCAGCCCAUGGGCAAGCAUGAAUACUGUGCCCUCACCCUGGACCCAGGGAUCUCUGGCUUAGGAGGAAUAGGAACCAGGAACAGGAGUUUUAAGUCGGAUUAUAGAUCUACACUUGUAAAGAGUAAACUUUCAUUCUUUACUGACUCAUGUUCAUCUCUCUUUUUGGCCUCUCUGUCCCACUUUUGUUUGGCAGGCUUUUUCUGCUGUGUUCUACUGCACCCUCGGCUGCAGGAUUUCUGCCACCUGACAUCCACCCGCCUGCCCGCAAUGCUGACCCCUGCCCACCCGCACUGCUCCCAGCCCUCUCAGCUCUUUUUGCCUACCAGUAGCAGUUACCCACAUUCCUACCCAUUCCCCAAACCAGGAUUUCCCUUCUUCCUCUCCAGUUUCGCCUCUCCCAGAAUCCUAACAAAUUCUCUCUUCUCUAUCGUUCGCCUUCUCUCUAAACACCCCAGAGAAAAGAUUAAAAGCGGCCUCGCCCUCUGCUCAGCUUCCCGGACUCUGAGCACCUGCCCACCCCCUCCCUCUUUCCCAGUGUCUUCCCAAGAGCGGGGAGGUGACGCUGCAGAGCUGACCCCGGACACGCAGCUGCUCCCGCUCCGGACACCCAGCUCCUCCAGCUCCGGUCUGCCCUCCGACCCCGGGGACCCAGGGGCUGGGAGGUGGAGAGACGCCCGAAUCUCACCUAUGACUGUGAGCCUGGUGCCCGGCCCGAAGUACUGCUCGUAGGAGCACGGAGGUGCACCCCGGCACGCAAACCACUAAGGCUCCCUGAGCUCCUGCCCACCUUGGGGACCCAGCCCAGGUCUCCUAGCACAGGGCGGGACCAGGUGCCGCGAAGCAGCCACCUUCCACCCGGACCCCGCCGUCCGGAUGUUCCCGCGGCAACUCACCCAGCACGGUCAGCCGGCUGCCGGCCCCGAAAGUCAGGGACGCUGGCCCCAGAGCACAGCCACAGGGGACUCCCCACAAAAACCGGACCCAAGCCGCCCGCGCCCGCGCCCCUGCGGCCCGCGCUCACCGAGCACCAGGGAGCCGUGUGUGCCUGGUCCGAAGUACUGGGUCUCUUGGAUCACA